AUUGAACGCUGGCGGCAGGCCUAACACAUGCAAGUCGAGCGAGUGGCGGACGGGUGAGUAAUGUAUGGGAAUCUGCCCGAUAGAGGGGGAUAACUACUGGAAACGGUGGCUAAUACCGCAUACUAUCGGAUGUGCCCAUAUGGGAUUAGCUAGUAGGUGGGGUAACGGCUCACCUAGGCGACGAUCCCUAGCUGGUCUGAGAGGAUGACCAGCCACACUGGAACUGAGACACGGCCCAGACUCCUACGGGAGGCAGCAGUGGGGAAUAUUGCACAAUGGGCGCAAGCCUGAUGCAGCCAUGCCGCGUGUAUGAAGAAGGCCUUCGGGUUGUAAAGUACUUUCAGCGGGGAGGCGUUACUCGCAGAAGAAGCACCGGCUAACUCCGUGCCAGCAGCCGCGGUAAUUC
rnacentral:rRNA from 1 species